rnacentral:tRNA from 1 species
GGAGCUGUGGCUCAGUGGUAGAGCACAUGUCUUGCGUGUGUGAGACACUGGGUUCGAUCCUCAGCACCA